UACGUAGGGUGCAAGCGUUGUCCGGAAUUAUUGGGCGUAAAGAGCUCGUAGGCGGUCUGUCGCGUCUGCUGUGAAAACUCGGGGCUUAACCCCGGGCCUGCAGUGGGUACGGGCAGACUAGAGUGCGGUAGGGGAGACUGGAAUCCUGGUGUAGCGGUGAAAUGCGCAGAUAUCAGGAGGAACACCGGUGGCGAAGGCGGGUCUCUGGGCCGUAACUGACGCUGAGGAGCGAAAGCAUGGGGAGCGAACGG
rnacentral:rRNA from 1 species